GCCAGAGCUGUGCACGAAGAGACAAUCAAGUACCAAAAGAAACACCAUGAAAGAAACAAUCCUCAAAUGAGAGAGUACAGAUACAGCUGGAGUUGUCUCGAUAUAUUCAACCCUCUUCUGGGCCAACCAAUGCAAGGCUUUAACCAAGAGCAGAGCUGUAACCAUCCCAAGGAAUGUGACAGAAAACUCCUGCCGGAAUAUAGUGAUGGCAAAUAAAAUUUCCAUCACCUCCCUCCACGAUUGUUCAUUCAGCCUUUCAACUUCUGCUUCUCUGAGAGUUCCGAGAAACAGGCGCUUGACUAGCUGCCACAUUAUACACAUGAUGACCAAGCCCAUAUUCAAAAGAAGAACAAAGCAUAUCUUCGAUGUGGAUAGAUAAACCAUAGCUGGAUAAAACU
rnacentral:misc_RNA from 1 species